GGCUGCAACCCGCCUGUAUGAAGUUGGAAUCGCUAGUAAUCNCGGAUCAGAAUGUCGCGGUGAAUACGUUCCCGGGCCUUGUACACACCGCCCGUCACACCAUGGGAGUUGGAAGCACCCGAAGUCGGUGACCUGACCGAAAGGGAGGAGCCGCCGAAGGUGAAGCCAGCGACUGGGGUGAAGUCGUAACAAGGUACC
rnacentral:rRNA from 1 species